rnacentral:lncRNA from 1 species
GCCGUCUUCACAAUUUAGUUCAAUUUAAAUUAAUUUCCUCAAAUCAUUUCAAUCAUGGAUCGCGCAAUCACAUUGAUUUCUAAUCAAUAACGUGAAUACCACAACCUGAUGAACCUUCCGUUUGCACGUGUUCGGCUUCUGAUGCCGAGUAUCUAACUCCGAUCUCGUAGAUGUGUGAUCCGGUCCGGGAAGCAUGAGCACCGGUGGUGGAAGAGGUCGCUUUCAUUCUCAUACUUUAGGGGAAACUCAUCUCUUCAACCUUUGAUUUUAGAGAGAGGAAGGAGUGUACGGCUCGUCUCACUUCGCCGUCACCGAGUCCAGUCUUCAUCGUCCCGCUUGAUCAUUGGUGCAAUGAUAAAGAUGAUCAACAAGUCUCUUUCUCAUUUAUCCUUGACAACAAAGAAUCUUGUAUGGCUGCAAUCUAUGCUUCCACCAGUAACUUGAGGAGGUAGGAAUUAUGGGAUAAACUAACAUAUCUGCAACACCAACACAAUAAAUCAUGGAGCUUCAUAGGUGAUUUCAAUACUAUUAUUGGAGCACAUGAGCAUAAAUGAUCUCUCUCUCCGGCCAGACCCUUAUGAUAGAUUUUCAGAAUUGGUCAUAUACUAAUGAAUUAAUUCACAUUCCAACCAAAGGUGCGGAAUUCACUUGGAAUAAUAGAAUAUCUGGGCAUAGACAUACAAAGAGAAGACUCGACAGAACUAUUU